rnacentral:rRNA from 1 species
GACGAACGCUGGCGGCGUGCUUAACACAUGCAAGUCGAACGGAAAGGCCCUGCUUUUGUGGGGUGCUCGAGUGGCGAACGGGUGAGUAACACGUGAGUAACCUGCCCUUGACUUUGGGAUAACUUCAGGAAACUGGGGCUAAUACCGGAUAGGAGCUCCUGCUGCAUGGUGGGGGUUGGAAAGUUUCGGCGGUUGGGGAUGGACUCGCGGCUUAUCAGCUUGUUGGUGGGGUAGUGGCUUACCAAGGCUUUGACGGGUAGCCGGCCUGAGAGGGUGACCGGCCACAUUGAGCCUGAGAUACGGCCCAGACUCCGACGGGAGGCAGCAGUGGGGAAUAUUGCACAAUGGGCGGAAGCCUGAUGCAGCAACGCCGCGUGCGGGAUGACGGCCUUCGGGUUGUAAACCGCUUUCGCCUGUGACGAAGCGUGAGUGACGGUAAUGGGUAAAGAAGCACCGGCUAACUACGUG